UUUGCAAUCUUGAGAAGAAUAAGGUUCGAACCCUGCAACUUUGGAAAGUCCUCUGUACUGCACCUGCAACUACAUGACUCUGAAUUCCUUCAGAUUUCGCAAACCUGCAACUGCAACUACAUCUACAUGACUUUGAAUUUCAUCAGGCGACGUGGAGGGGCUGCACCGGCUGCUGAAGCCGACGUGGAGGGCUACGGGCCAAGAACCAAGAACCCUCUCCUCCUCCUCCUCCUCCUCUCCUCUCCUCUCCUCUCCGGCAUCCAAGAACCCUCCCGUGUCCUGGUCAUGCCGCCGCCGGAUCCGGAGCUGAACAAGCGGUUGGCGUCGGCGUCGGCGCCGGAGCACGACCAGACGGCCGGCCCCUACGGCACGGUGCGUGCGACGACGGGAAAGGGAGAAGAGAAGGAAACCCUAACCCUAAAUUUGAAAGAGGAGGGGAGAGGGGAUAAAGGAAGCGUGCUCACCGGAGAGAAGGUGGCGGCCGGAGGAGAGAGCCGUGCCAUCGCCGUCGCCUCCGGGUCGUGCCACACGCCGCGCGCUGCCCCCGCCGUCGCGUCCGUGUCUUCGUUGCGCCGCCGCGAGGAAUUUUUCUGCUCCUCUCGAGUAGAUGAUUUUUUUCCUGGGCUUACAGAACAGGGAAAUCCGUGGUGGGCCGGGCUAAAAUUUGUUGGGGCUUAA
rnacentral:lncRNA from 1 species